rnacentral:rRNA from 1 species
CCUGGUGGCGAGUGGCGAACGGGUGAGUAAUGCGUCGGAACGUACCGAGUAAUGGGGGAUAACGCAGCGAAAGUUGUGCUAAUACCGCAUACGCCCUGAGGGGGAAAGCGGGGGAUCGUAAGACCUCGCGUUAUUCGAGCGGCCGACGUCUGAUUAGCUAGUUGGUGGGGUAAAGGCCUACCAAGGCGACGAUCAGUAGCGGGUCUGAGAGGAUGAUCCGCCACACUGGGACUGAGACACGGCCCAGACUCCUACGGGAGGCAGCAGUGGGGAAUUUUGGACAAUGGGGGCAACCCUGAUCCAGCCAUUCCGCGUGAGUGAAGAAGGCCUUCGGGUUGUAAAGCUCUUUCAGCUGGAGUGAAACGGUGAGCUCUAACAUAGCUUGCUAAUGACGGUACCAGCAGAAGAAGCACCGGCUAACUACGUGCCAGCAGCCGCGGUAAUACGUAGGGUGCGAGCGUUAAUCGGAAUUACUGGGCGUAAAGCGUGCGCAGGCGGAUUGUUAAGCAAGACGUGAAAUCCCCGGGCUUAACCUGGGAAUGGCGUUUUGAACUGGCAGUCUAGAGUGCGUCAGAGGGGGGUGGAAUUCCACGUGUAGCAGUGAAAUGCGUAGAGAUGUGGAGGAACACCGAUGGCGAAGGCAGCCCCCUGGGAUGACACUGACGCUCAUGUACG